rnacentral:rRNA from 1 species
AACUCAGGGAACUGAAACAUCUAAGUACCUGAAGGAAGAGAAAGAAAUUCGAUUCCGUAAGUAGCGGCGAGCGAACGCGGAUUAGCCCAAACCAAUAAAGUUUUCUUUAUUGGGGUUGCGGACAUAUCAUAACGAAGAGGUAUCGUAAUUGAAGAGGUUUGGAAAGACCCACCACAGAAGGUAAUAGUCCUGUAUGUUAAACGAGAAGACUUUAGAUAUGAUCCAGAGUACCACGGGACACGUGAAACCCUGUGGGAAGCAGGAGGGACCACCCUCCAAGGCUAAAUACUACCUAGUGACCGAUAGCGUAUAGUACCGUGAGGGAAAGGUGAAAAGAACCCCGGGAGGGGAGUGAAAUAGAACCUGAAACCCUGCACUUACAAGCUGUGGAAGCACAUUUCUUGUGUGACCGCGUACUUUUUGUAGAACGGGCCAACGAGUUACGUUAAGUAGCAAGGUUAAGCACUUAAGGUGCGGAGCCGUAGCGAAAGCGAGUUUUAACUGAGCGUUCAGUUACUUGACGUAGACCCGAAACCGGGCGACCUACCCAUGAGCAGGAUGAAGCGAAAGUAAAAUUUCGUGGAGGUCCGAACCCACGAGCGUUGAAAAGCUCGGGGAUGACUUGUGGGUAGCGGUGAAAUUCCAAUCGAGCCCGGAGAUAGCUGGUUCUCCCCGAAAUAGCUUUAGGGCUAGCCUCAAGGUGAGAGA